CAGGAAAUAGUUUAAUUUAGAAUACUACCUUUGGGAGGUAGUGGUGGAAGUUAAAAUCUUUCUUUUCUGG
rnacentral:tRNA from 1 species